GACGAACGCUGGCGGCGUGCUUAACACAUGCAAGUCGAACGGAAAGGUCCUGCUUUUGUGGGGUGCUCGAGUGGCGAACGGGUGAGUAACACGUGAGUAACCUGCCCGUGACAUUGGGAUAACUUCAGGAAACUGGGGCUAAUACCGGAUAGGAGUUCCGGCUGCAUGGUGUGGGUUGGAAAGUUUCGGCGGUUGGGGAUGGACUCGCGGCUUAUCAGCUUGUUGGUGGGGUAGUGGCUUACCAAGGAUUUGACGGGUAGCCGGCCUGGGAGGGUGACCGGCCACAUUGGGACUGGGAUGCGGCCCAGACUCCUACGGGAGGCAGCAGUGGAGAUUAUUGCACGAUGGGCGGAAGCCUGAUGCAGCAACGCCGCGUGCGGGAUGACGGCCUUCGGGUUGUAACCCGCUUUCGCCUGUGACGAAGCGUGAGUGACGGUAAUGGGUAAAGAAGCACCGGCUAACUACGUG
rnacentral:rRNA from 1 species